rnacentral:rRNA from 1 species
UACGGAAGGGGCAAGCGUUGUCCGGAUUUAUUGGGCGUAAAGAGCGUGUAGGCGGCUAGGCAGGUCCGAUGUGAAAUCUCGGGGCUUAACUCCGAAACUGCAUUCGAUACUGCCGUGCUUGAGGACUGGAGAGGAGACUGGAAUUUACGGUGUAGCGGUGAAAUGCGUAGAGAUCAUGAGGAAGACCAGUGGCGAAGGCGGGUCUCUGGACAGUUCCUGACACUGAGGCACGAAGGCCAGGGGAGCAAACGGG